GCGUGUGUGAAGAAGGCCUGCGGGUUGUAAAGCACUUUCAGCUGGGAAGAUAAUGACGGUACCAGCAGAAGAAGCACCGGCUAACUCUGUGCCAGCAGCCGCGGUAAUACAGAGGGUGCAAGCGUUAAUCGGAAUUACUGGGCGUAAAGCGCGCGUAGGCGGUUUGUUAAGUCGGAUGUGAAAUCCCUGGGCUCAACCUAGGAAUUGCAUUCGAUACUGGCAGGCUAGAGUAUGGUAGAGGGAAGUGGAAUUCCAGGUGUAGCGGUGAAAUGCGU
rnacentral:rRNA from 1 species